rnacentral:rRNA from 1 species
UACGGAGGGGGCUAGCGUUGCUCGGAAUCACUGGGCGUAAAGCGCACGUAGGCGGAUCGUUAAGUCGGGGGUGAAAUCCUGGAGCUCAACUCCAGAACUGCCUCCGAUACUGGCGAUCUUGGAGUCCGGGAGAGGUGAGUGGAACUCCGAGUGUAGAGGUGAAAUUCGUAGAUAUUCGGAAGAACACCAGUGGCGAAGGCGGCUCACUGGCCCGGUACUGACGCUGAGGUGCGAAAGCGUGGGGAGCAAACAGG